CCUACGGGAGGCAGCAGUGAGGAAUAUUGGUCAAUGGACGAGAGUCUGAACCAGCCAAGCAGCGUGAGGGAUGAAUGCCCUAGGGGUUGUAAACUUCUUUUAUAUGGGAAUAAAAUGUUGCACGUGUGGGAUUUUGUAUGUACCAUAUGAAUAAGGAUCGGCUAACUCCGUGCCAGCAGCCGAGGUACUACGGAGGUUCCGAGCGUUAUCCGGAUUGAUUGGGUUUAACGUGAGCGUAGUUGGGUUGAUAAGUUAGUUGUGAAAGUUUGCGGCUCAACCGUAAAAUUGCAAUUGAUACUGGCAGACUUGAGUACAGUUGAGGAAGGCGGAAUUCGUGGUGUAGCGGUGAAAUGCGUAGAUAUCACGAAGAACACCAGUGGCGAAGGCAGCUUACUGGACUGCCACUGACGUUGAGGCUCGAAAGCAUGGGUAUCAAACAGGAUUAGAUACCCUUGUAGUC
rnacentral:rRNA from 1 species